rnacentral:tRNA from 2 species
GGUCUCGUAGUUCAACGGAUAGAAUAGACGUUUCCUAAACGUUUGAUAUGGGUUCGAUUCCCGUCGAGACCACCA